rnacentral:rRNA from 1 species
UACGUAGGGUGCAAGCGUUGUCCGGAAUUAUUGGGCGUAAAAGAGCUUGUAGGCGGUUUUGUCGCGUCUGCUGUGAAAUUUCGGGGCUCAACCCCCGAACUUGCAGUGGGGUACGGGCAGACUAGAGUGUGGUAGGGGGAGACUGGAAUUCCUGGUGUAGCGGUGAAAUGCGCAGAUAUCAGGAGGAACACCGAUGGCGAAGGCAGGUCUCUGGGCCACUACUGACGCUGAGAGCGAAAGCAUGGGGAGCGAACAGG